rnacentral:rRNA from 1 species
UACGUAGGGUGCGAGCGUUAAUCGGGAUUACUGGGCGUAAAGCGUGCGCAGGCGGUGUUGUAAGACAGAUGUGAAAUCCCCGGGCUUAACCUGGGAACUGCGUUUGUGACUGCAAGGCUAGAGUACGGCAGAGGGGGGUGGAAUUCCUGGUGUAGCAGUGAAAUGCGUAGAUAUCAGGAGGAACACCGAUGGCGAAGGCAGCCCCCUGGGCCUGUACUGACGCUCAUGCGCGAAAGCGUGGGGAGCAAACAGG